CUGCAUGACAUAUUUUGAAAAUUUUUUAAGAAUGUACACCUUCGAGGAGCCAAAAUUUUAUAGAAUUAAAAUUGUUUUCUUCACUUUUUGAAACAAUAUUUGGCAAAGAAAUAUAUGGUGGGGCACAUCCUUUUCUUCUACGGCCUAAUUUUGAUAAUUUUCCCAUUUUAAAUCUUUAAAAAUUAUUUUGGUGGAUUGUUGAAAAAAUCACUGUUCCACAAUUAAACUUUUUUUCAUACUUUAAAUCAAGUGCAUUGACCAAUCUGAAUAAAUCUAACUUCCGAAAAAACUUUCGGUCAUCAAUUUUGUGAUUUUUCUACUUAAAGAAC
rnacentral:lncRNA from 1 species